GCGAUGCCUCUGUAGCUGUACUGCUUGCUCCUCAGUCCAGCUAUCCGCAUAGACUUCGCACCAACCCAUCUCCCAGUCUCACACACCAAAGAGGAAAAAAAGCCUUGUUUUUUUUCUUCGGAGAAAGGAGAGGGGGAGAAAAUUAUACUACUCUCUUCUGUCCAGUCCAGCCGCGGACACCAAGGCACAGAGGCAGGCAGGCGGACAGGGUAGGCAAGAGGCGAGCUCGGCGAAGGCGCGGAGAGGGGAGACAGCCAGCCGCUGCAUUGCGCUACAUUGGGCAGGAGGGCUCGCCGCCGGGGGAGGCUCGGAUCUUGCGUCUCUGGCCGUGGCUGCCGCGUGCUUGCUUCGUUUGGUGGCGCUGCGCCCAUUGGCGGGCGGCCUCGGUCCAGCGCGGCGUGAUCUGGCGCGCGCCGCCGACUCCACUCGCGUGGGGAGGCCUGGAUCUUGACGCUCUGCUGUCGCUGCCGCGAGACCCUGGGGGAGCCACGCUGUGCUCAGUCGCCCGCAGUCCGCUGAGCUGCCGAGUGCGUCCGGCGGGCGGGAGAUCUGGCCGACGGCGCGGCGCUGCAGAUCCCCUGCCUGCGCGGGCACGGCUCACUGCUGCUGUGGAGGCUGUUGCGCGCGGUGGUGCCGAUGGGCUACGGGUACGUGGAUCCCUUCCCGCCCCCUCAGCAGCCACAACAGGCGGCAUACGUCGCGCCGCAGCAGGGGGACUACGGGCAGCCGCAGCCGCAGCCGGCUCCGCGGCCACCGGCUUGCCCGUACUCGUCGUCCGCCUCCGCUCCGCCGGGCUCCGCGUCCUAUCAUUUUUCGCCUCCGGCACCGUCCCCUCCGCCGGUAAGUAGCCCACCUCCGGCGUCCCCUUUACCGGAGCCAUCGGCGCCACCUGCACCAUUGCUGCCAUCGCCGCCGCCUCCUGCACCAUUGCCGCCAUCGCCUCCGCCGCCAGCAUUGUCGCCUCCUCCGCCGGACGCCCUCCCUCCGUCGCUUCCACCGUCACCGCUGCCAUAUCCAACCCGAUCACCACCUCAAGCCCCGCCGCCCCCGCUGACGACGGAUCAGCCGCGCGUUCAGCCCCGCGUAUACCCAUCACCGCCACCGCCGUCCCUCCCUCCUCCGCCGCCUCCCACCGUCUCGCCGCCAGCGCCGGCUCCAUCCAAUUCGCCGUCGCCGUCGCCUGCUCCAGCUGCACAAGCUCCGGGUCCCGCGCGUGUUGCUGCCUAUUCGCCUCCCCCGCCUAGAAUCGCCCCUCCGCCGCCUCCGCACUAUCACGGCAAGUCGCAUUACACGCCGCACUCGCCCGUGAAGUCGCAUUCGAACUCGAGCCAUGCAGCUAGUGGCAGUGGCAAGAACAUCGAGAUAUCGAGGGAAGCGGCCACCACCAUUGUAGCACUGGCCGGUCUCGCCAUGCUCAGCUUUAUUGGCGCGACCAUUUGGUUCGUCAAGAAAAAGCGCCGGCGCAUAGAGCCUCCGGCUACAUUGCCUACACAGCAACCAGCUCCUCCGCCACCGCCCAACUACAUUCCAUCUUCGGCUGGAUCCUCGCUAGCAUCAGACGGAUUCUACUUGAGAUCGCCAGGGUAUCCUUUCAUGAGGUACAGCACUGGGAGCCAUGGUUUUCCAUACUCCCCAGCCGACUCUGGGAUUGGGUAUUCCCAUAUGCUGUUCACACCAGAGAAUUUGGCAGCUAUCACAGAUGACUUUGCAGAAGAUAACCUUUUGGGAGAAGGUGGAUUUGGGUGUGUGUUCAAGGGCAUUUUGCCGGAUGGUCGCCCUGUCGCCGUCAAGAAGCUCAAGAUUGGGAAUGGGCAAGGCGAGCGUGAGUUCAAGGCUGAGGUCGAUACUAUCAGCAGAGUACAUCAUAGGCAUUUGGUUUCUCUAGUAGGCUAUUGCAUUGCGGAGGGCCAGCGAAUGCUUGUUUAUGAUUUUGUUCCCAACAACACACUAUAUUACCACCUCCAUGUAAGUGAAACAUCACUGGAUUGGCGGACAAGGGUUAAGAUUGCAGCUGGAGCAGCCCGAGGGAUUGGUUACCUCCAUGAAGAUUGUCAUCCACGUAUUAUUCAUAGAGAUAUUAAAUCAUCCAAUAUUUUGUUGGACAACAACUUUGAAGCUCAGGUUUCUGAUUUUGGACUUGCAAGGUUAGCGGCUGAUUCCAAUACACAUGUUACCACACGUGUCAUGGGGACAUUUGGGUAUUUGGCUCCAGAGUAUGCAUUGUCAGGAAAGUUAACAGCAAAGUCUGAUGUAUAUUCUUUUGGGGUUGUUCUUUUGGAGCUGAUCACAGGAAGAAAACCUGUUGAUGCUUCUCAGCCGUUGGGAGAUGAAAGUCUGGUUGAAUGGGUGAGUUCAUCACUUCAUUGUCUAUAAUAAGCGGCCUUACUGCAUGUCACUAAUGUUAGGUUCUAAAGUAUGCGUAACUUUUCUGUUUUUUAACCAUAACCAGUAACCAUAGUCAUGAGAUUGAGAUCCACUAAUAAAUGACAUGAUUAUUUCGUGAUACACCAAUGGAUGUGUCUAGACUUCUUCAAGCUUCAACUGUUGAUUUCCUGUUCCACUGUCUGUCGAUAAAUAUCCAUUAAGCUGAGGUGGAAGUCGGAUGCCUCAAAGUUUGAGUUCUAUCAUGCAGUCGCUAAAUUCUCUGCUGAUGCUUUCGCUAGUUCAUUCGUUUUCUUUAAAAGAUGAACGGCCCUUGUACUUCUUCCAUGACAUGGUCAUUGCUUCUUAUAAGAUGUUUAAUCGUUCCACUGGUCCCAUUUGCACAAACAUGUCAACCAAGAGAGCGAUAUGGAGAGAACGCAUUUGCUAAAAGUUCCAGUGGCUGUACCUUUUAUAAAGUGGGGCCAGUGGGCAACCAGAUUAUUCUUCCAGAGUGUCACACAAAAGGUGGUUAGAGUGCUAGGGACCUAUUUAUUGCAGUCUUCAUAGUUCAUACCGCUGUUCGGUGUGAAAGAAGUUCGGAUGGGAACUUAGCACUCGACGCAGAUCCUUGCGGUCAUGGAAGGUACCGACACAUUACACAAACGACACCUAAAUUGAUCUGAACAAAUUGCUUGUGUCUAUUGUCUUGGACGUCGCUGUGUCUUUUACAACGAAGAUUAUGAAUUGGACUUGGACAGGUUUGCUGCCGUUACGAUCUCAACCCAGAACCUUAUGCAUGCUGGAAAAUUUGCAGGCCCGCUCCGUUCUGACGAAGGCGAUCGAGCAUCGGGAGUUCGGGGACCUUCCUGACCCCAGGAUGGAGAACAGGUUCGACGAAAACGAGAUGUUUCACAUGAUAGUAGCCGCGGCCGCAUGCAUCCGGCACUCGGCGGCAAUGAGGCCACGGAUGGGGCAGGUGGUUAGAGCACUAGAUAGCUUAGCGGACUCUAAUCUGAACAACGGCCUCCAGCCCGGGCGCUGCGAGGUGUUCUUGGAGCCGCAGUCCGAGGAGAUCAGGCUGUUCCGGCUGAGGGAGUUCGGCAGCCGGGACGGUAGCGAGGAGCUGAGCCAGGCGAGCUGGAGGAGCCGGAGAGACCUGUGAACAGACACACUCGGUACAAGGUCAUUAACAUUCUUUUUUUUUUGGGGGCCAUUCUUUACAUGUAAUUAUCUCGUUUACAUGAUUCUUUCUUCCUUCUUACUUUUCGUUUGUUACUUUACUCCUCCCUGAGGCAAUUCUUGUUCCUGGUGGAAUAGAUUUUGCAUUUUCGUUCGGGAGAUAAGUAAAUGAAUCCUCUGUCUUUUCUCUCUCUCUCUCUCUCUCUCCAGUGAAUAGUACACAGAAAGUUUGGUUCCUGGCA